CUUAGACUUGUCAUGAAACCAUCCCGAGCUAACAGGAACUGCGCUGGCCGUUGCUGACGGAUGCAAUUUGAGUGGACAUCCUCCAUCCCCAUGGGUGUGAAGGGCUUGGCUGGAGCUUAGGGUACUGCACUGUCCCAGGUGUGACCCUUCUCUCUCAGGCUGAUUCGUGAAGGGAUGGGGCGAGUCUAACACCAACAGGGUCACCGUGGAAAACCACAUCAUCUGCCUCAGCACAAUCCUGCCCAGACGAAAGGCCUAUCGAUCCAUGCUCCUGGACCCUCCACGCUGCCUGACCAUGGAUUACUCACGAAGCAUCAGAGAGAUUACUCUCCACCAGCUAAAAUCACGACAGCAGUCAGCACGGCUGAUGGCAAAUAUGAAAGCUGUGAUUUAGAGCAUUUUGAAGCAAAAAAAAAACAAAAAAAAAACCCUCUCUUUCCAGCCUUUUAUAAGGCUGUGCAACUU